rnacentral:rRNA from 1 species
GACAGAGGGUGCAAAACGUUGUUCGGAAUUACUGGGCGUAAAGCGCGUGUAGGCAGCUCAGAAAGUCGGAUGUGAAAGCCCUGGGCUUAACCUAGGAAGUGCAUUCGAAACUUCUGAGCUUGAGUUCUGGAGAGGAAGGCGGAAUUCUCGGUGUAGAGGUCGAAAUUCGUAGAUAUCGAGAGGAACACCGGUGGCGAAGGCGGCCU